UGUCAAAAAAAUAACCCACUUUCAUACCAAAACACACUUAAACCAACAUAAAACUGUGUUUUUUCUGAGUUUUUCUCAGCGGAAGUUGGUUUUUGCUAUUAAAAGCGAGUUUUAUGUGCGCUAAACUGUGCUUAACUGAGUUUAAAGUUGGUUAUUUUAAGAAGAUGUGUGUUUAAGCGAGUUUUUUUCUGUAAGGAGUCAGUUUUUUUGUGUCAAAAGUGAGCCUUUUUAUUUAUGAGUUGGUUUAUGUGUGUUUAAGUGUGUCUUUUUGUUUUAUAAGCGAGUCUUUUACAACAGAAGUUGAUCCUUUUUAAACAGUAGUGGGUUUAAGCGAGUUUAAAUUGGUCUUUUUGUAAAUAAUUUGAGAGCUGAAACCAGGCUAAAAGACUCACUUAAACACACUUUUCAAUAAGUUGGUCUUUUGUUUAUAAAUAAUACUCAUCAAUAAAACAAGAAUUCUUCAAAUAGGUCUUUGUUUCAUGUUUAUAGCCAUUAUAUAAUACAAGUCAAUUGUAAAGGGGCUUUUUUACAGCUUGUUUGCCAUUGUCCCUAUUGUAAAUGUGUGUGCUCCCCAUAAUUUUUUAGUGAAUAUUGGAUGAAAAUGGCUCUUUCAGAACAUCACAGGUUCACAGAUGGACAACAAGUAUCACUGCCAAAAACUAUAAAAAUGAUAAAACUUAGUUUUAUACCUGAAAAUGAAAGAGUUUGUGUUUCGCUUUGAUUUUUUUCUUUAUAUUUGUUUUUAUUAUAAACAAUAUCUUAUGAUUGUUUUAUGUCUUAAAUUUUUUAUUUUUUUUAAAUUUUAAAACAAUCUUAUAUGAUUGUUUAUAUUUGUUUAAAACAGUAUUUACUUGUUAAAUCUGCAUAUUUAAAUAAUUAUGGUAUUGGAAACAUUAUUUUGGAAAUAAUCUAUUAAUUUGUGUACAUAAGUUAUGCAAGAUUUUGAUAUUUUCAUAUGAUACCAUUGUAUCCAUUUUCUUAAUUUGCAAUAAAAUAAUAUGAUGCCAAACAUGACCUGUGUUACAUAAACAGUCAACAAAAUAACAAGACAAUACCUAAAAACACCCCUUUUCACACCACUAACAAUAAACAGAUAACAAUCUGUCAGGCAUUCAGAGCUAAACAGGGUACUGAUUAUCAGGGGCAGAUAAGGCUACUGAUAGGGUUUGCCCAGACAUAAGGCUGGAAUGAGGUAUAAGACUUUUGAUUGGUUCAAUUUUUUGCACAGGAAAUUAUUUGAAAACAACAACUUUUGAAAAACAAGCUGGUUUCAGCAAUUGAAUUGAGCUAAAUUAAAUUAACAUUAAGACUUAUAAUUGUUCUGUAAAAUGUAUUGAAAUACUGUCAGCAUGAAGUAUUGUGUGAUGAAAACAAUGUGUAUUUUACUACAAUUUGGAAAUCAACAAUAAGUUUGUUGGAAAAGAAGUUCAACUGUUUUUUUUUGGAAUACUGAAGAACAGUUUUAACAGGUUUGUAUUGUCAUUUCUUCAUCCUUUUUUUAUUUAGUUUACUGAAUUAAUUAUGAUCAUUAUUAUAUUUAUGUAUUGUCACUGGGAAAUGUAAAUUGAUAAGUUAAUGUAUUGCAACUUAAAGGAAAAACAACACAAUUUGAAGCAAAAAUAGAUGAACAUACACAUGACAAAGUGUAAAUGUUGGGUACAGUGAAUUAUUGUGGUUGUGUUUUAUGAUUAUUGUCAUCUUUAUUGUUAUUUAUAGAUAUUUCUGGUUACUACUGAACAGAUUUCUUUCCCUCAUAUUUUAAUUUUGAAGGUUAAACUCUUGCCCCAAGAGCAAAAUCAUACUACCUGAUGUAUGGACUUUUACACCAGGCUUUUACCCUGCACGAGCUGGCCAACUUGAGGGGAACUGAAGUGGGCAAACCUCGCCCUGUCGUUGAACAAGGAAGCUGGAUUUGUUGAGAGAGUAUCAUUUAAGCUGAAAUCCAGCAUGAAACCAGGGAGGUGAUGGCCAUCGCACAGGCCAUGUGCCGACUAUUCACUUUUCACCAGCUUGUGACUUGCUCCAUGAAGGGAGCAACAACUACAAAGGGGUCACCAAGACCAAGCCUCCCCGCUGCUGAGAGAAAUGCAAUCAUUGAUGUCAUAGCCAAAACCUUUGACAAGCCUUCGGUUGAUGUUGAAGAAAAGAUGAGAGGUUGUUUAAGGCAUCUGCGGCUGAUGCACAAGUAGACUGAAGUCUUUGUAAAUAAAAUGUGCUGUUAAAAUGAUUAUUUAACCAUUGUUUUCACUUUGUUAUAUAGAUUUGCACCUGUUUCAACAACAUUAACUUAUUUUUAUGCUCCCGGUAGAGUCUCAUAUAGCAGUUGAACUGUCCGUCUGUCUGUCUAUCCGUCCGAAAACUUUAGCAUUGGUCAUAACUUUUGCAAUAUUGAAGAAAGCAACUUGAUAUUUAGCAUGCAUGUGAAUCUCAUUGAGCUGCACAUUUUGAGUGGUGCAAGGUCAAGGUCAUCCUUCAAGGUCAGAGGUCAAAAUCCAAUGGAAGAAAUAAGCAAAGAGAGAUAAUUUCUAUACCUGCCAAAUGAUAAAUAGAAAUUUUAUUUCAAAGCGGUGCAGUAGGGGGCAUUGUGUUUCUGACGAACACAUCCACAUCUCUUGUUUGUAUUUAUUCCAUACAAUCUUACUUUUUUCAGUUCUUUCUUUGUGUUCAAUGUUAUGUUAUAAAACUAUUAUAUUUUAUUAUAACAAUGCCAUGUCUGUCAAAAUAGUGUUAUCAUGCUGUGUAUAUGGAUAUAUAUGUAAAGUUUUAUGUUUUAUCGUUUAAAAAAAAGUAAUUAGAAUUUAAUUUAUGAUAUUUGUGUUCUUAUCAUAAAAAAGUAUCAGUUUUCAAGUGGGUGAAAAGUGGGUUUUUACUGAGCAUUUAACAGGUUUUAAAGCUAGUUUUAACUGCGUUUAAUCUGUGAAAAGCACACAUUUAGCUCACUUAAUGCUCAAAUAAAAACCCACUUUUAACUCGCUUAAGAACAGGAAAAACCGACUUGAUGUGUAGAAGCGGGUGUAAAAGCCAACAUAAAGAAGGAGAACACACUAACUUUUAACCAACUUAAGUUGGUAAAACUCGGUUUUAAAGCGUGUUUUAACUGCGUUUAAUCUGAGUUAAGCACACAUUUAGCUUACUUAACACUCAAACAAAAACCAACUUUUAACUCGCUUAAGAACAGGAAAAACCGACUUGAUGUGUAGAAGCGGGUUUAAAAGCCAACAUAGAGAAGGAAAACACACUCACUUUUAACCCACUUAAGUGGGUUUAAGUUAGUUUUAGUUGGUUUAAGUUGGUAUAAGAAGGUAUAAGCGUGUUGGUUUAUGUGAGUGAAAUCCAGGUUUUACCUACAAAAAACCAAGUCGGUAAGCAAAAAGUGUGUUUAAAAGACACGCUUUAACCCGGUGCCAAUACCGCAGGGUUUAACACGGUUUUAACACGGAUUAAAACCGGGUUUUGCCCACUUUUUUGACAAG